rnacentral:rRNA from 1 species
ACGCGCGGAACCUUACCAGGUCUUGACAUCCCACUGACCACUAUGGAGACAUAGCUUUCCCUUCGGGGACAGUGGUGACAGGUGGUGCAUGGUUGUCGUCAGCUCGUGUCGUGAGAUGUUGGGUUAAGUCCCGCAACGAGCGCAACCCUUGAUCUUAGUUGCCAGCAUUUAGUUGGGCACUCUAAGGUGACUGCCGGUGACAAACCGGAGGAAGGUGGGGACGACGUCAAAUCAUCAUGCCCCUUAUGACCUGGGCUACACACGUGCUACAAUGGACGGUACAAACGGUUGCCAACCCGCGAGGGGGAGCUAAUCCGAUAAAACCGUUCUCAGUUCGGAUUGUAGGCUGCAACUCGCCUACAUGAAGCCGGAAUCGCUAGUAAUCGCGGAUCAGCAUGCCGCGGUGAAUACGUUCCCGGGCCUUGCACACACCGCCCGU